CGAACGGGUGAGUAACACGUGAGCAACCUGCCCCAGGCUUUGGGAUAACCCCGGGAAACCGGGGCUAAUACCGAAUAUGACCUCUGACCGCAUGGUUGGUGGUGGAAAGUUUUUCGGCUUGGGAUGGGCUCGCGGCCUAUCAGCUUGUUGGUGGGGUGAUGGCCUACCAAGGCGACGACGGGUAGCCGGCCUGAGAGGGCGACCGGCCACACUGGGACUGAGACACGGCCCAGACUCCUACGGGAGGCAGCAGUGGGGAAUAUUGCACAAUGGGCGGAAGCCUGAUGCAGCGACGCCGCGUGAGGGAUGACGGCCUUCGGGUUGUAAACCUCUUUCAGCAGGGACGAAGCGUAAGUGACGGUACCUGCAGAAGAAGCGCCGGCCAACUACGUGCCAGCAGCCGCGGUAAGACGUAGGGCGCGAGCGUUGUCCGGAUUUAUUGGGCGUAAAGAGCUCGUAGGCGGCUUGUCGCGUCGACCGUGAAAACUUGGGGCUCAACCCCAAGCCUGCGGUCGAUACGGGAGGGCUAGAGUUCGGUAGGGGAGACUGGAAUUCCUGGUGUAGCGGUGAAAUGCGCAGAUAUCAGGAGGAACACCGGUGGCGAAGGCGGGUCUCUGGGCCGAUACUGACGCUGAGGAGCGAAAGCGUGGGGAGCGAACA
rnacentral:rRNA from 1 species